GCUGAACGGCGAAAAAUAAUUCAUAUAAAUCAAAUUAGUUUGGGAUCAAGACUUGAUUGUUAUUACUUGUUUUUCCUAUUUCUUGAUUCAUUUUGAGUUGAGAUGUUCUGAAACUUGAAUCUUACUUGCACUAACAAACUUGAUAAACACACAACUAUUUUUUCUUAAAACAAAGAUUCAAGAAUGGCAAGAGACUUGCCAUUUCAGGUUCAGUCUUCUCUAUUUUCUAGCAGGCAUUUGACGAACCUACACUUAAAUGAUAAAAGCAAAGGAAAAGAAAAAGGAAAUCAUCAAACGAGUUACACAUCACAAGAAGAAUUAAUCCUAUUUCCUAAACACCUUUCAGGUGGCUACCAUUUUCCUUAAGAAGCAAGCAAGUCUUGAAACGAGCAGAGUAUUAGCUACUUAAUGACAUGAACUCUCUUCAAAGCCUUCAAAAGCAAAGGGUAAGCUGUCAGGUGGGGAAAAUGGCCUUCUGUUUCGAGUAUCUCAACGCUGGCAUGACCUCCCACCUUACUCUUCAUGUAAUGGGCAACGAAUUGUGGAACUGCAAAGUCUUUCUCGGACUGGAUUAUGGUACAAGGUACUAAAACUGUUGGAAGAAUGCUUCGUAGAUCACUUGAAAACACGGUUUUAGCAGUACUAAACGCUAUCUUGGGUUUCAUUCUCUUUAAGCUAUCUUCAAACUCUGAUAUUGCUUGUUUGUUCUUCACACCAACAGCUCUUGGAGCAAAGUCUUGAACCCAACUUGAAAAAUUGUUAUUUAUGUUUCUAAGUAUUUCAUUGAUACCUGCUCUCUCAAAGCCUCCUUCAUAUCCUUUUGCAUUAAGGUACCUGAACAAAAAUAAAAUAAAAUUCUCUGAAACAAGAAACAAGAGAUGAUAUAAUACAUUUGUAUCUGUGAAAUUUAAAGGAAAAGAUCACAGACCUUGGCGAGCCACUGAGUAAAAUAAGGUGCUGAAAGAGUUCUGGCCUUUCUAUUGCAGCUAUGCACCCAAUCAUGGCUGACAUAGAAUGACCCAUAUAGAUGGUCUUCUUUACAUUUAGCUCAUCAAGAAGGGUCACCAAGUCUCUUGCAUAUCCAGUGAAGUUGGAGUACUUGUUUGGAUCAUAAAAUUUGGGGUUUACAUUUGGUGAGAAAACCAAGUCAAAAACCACAAUCUUGAAGUAUAAUGCAAGAUAAGGUAUGAGAAAGUGCCAAACACUCUGGUCUGAACCAAACCCAUGAGCAAGAACUAAGGUCUCACUGCUAUUUCCAUACACCUUAGCGUUUAGAGAUUCAACAAUACCUCCUCUACCAUGCUCAAAAAACACACCCAUGUUUGCACUCAUUAGUGCAACAGUAGAGAAGAUCAACACUACUAAAAAAUGACUCACCUAGUUGUUUGGCUUCGGUUUCUUGGGCUAUAUAAAUAGGGUUUUUCAUGUAUCUCCUACACAAGUUUAAAAUUUUCAAAAAUCAUGGAAAAAUACCAUAUGAUUUCAUUAUUUUUUUUAGACUAUAUGAUUUCAUGAUUUUAUUAAAUGAGGCUAAGGUUUCUUCUUGACACUUUAAUUUUCUGUGGUAUUGCUCUUAGCACUUCAUUGCUAAAUGUCAUAAAACUGUUAUAAUUGUUAAUUUGGCAUAUAAUUUUUUUUUU
rnacentral:misc_RNA from 1 species